AACGAACGCUGGCGGCAUGCCUAACACAUGCAAGUCGAACGAGACCUUCGGGUCUGGUGGCGCACGGGUGCGUAACGCGUGGGAAUCUGCCCUUGGGUUCGGAAUAACAGUGAGAAAUUACUGCUAAUACCGGAUGAUGUCUUCGGACCAAAGAUUUAUCGCCCAGGGAUGAGCCCGCGUAGGAUUAGCUAGUUGGUGGGGUAAUGGCCUACCAAGGCGACGAUCCUUAGCUGGUCUGAGAGGAUGAUCAGCCACACUGGGACUGAGACACGGCCCAGACUCCUACGGGAGGCAGCAGUGGGGAAUAUUGGACAAUGGGCGCAAGCCUGAUCCAGCAAUGCCGCGUGAGUGAUGAAGGCCUUAGGGUUGUAAAGCUCUUUUACCCGGGAUGAUAAUGACAGUACCGGGAGAAUAAGCUCCGGCUAACUCCGUG
rnacentral:rRNA from 1 species